rnacentral:rRNA from 1 species
CGCCUACGGGGGGCAGCAGUGGGGAAUAUUGCACGAUGGGGGAAACCCUGAUGCAGCAACGCCGCGUGAGUGAAGAAGGUUUUCGGAUUGUAAAGCUCUGUUAGCAGGGAAGAGGAAGGACGGUACCUGCAGAGGAAGCCACGGCUAACUACGUGCCAGCAGCCGCGGUAAUACGUAGGUGGCAAGCGUUGUUCGGAAUGAUUGGGCGUAAAGGGUGCGUAGGCGGCCUGCUAAGUCUGGAGUGAAAGGUACCGGCUCAACCGGUACAGGCUCUGGAAACUGGCGGGCUAGAGAGCAGGAGAGGG